GACCUUUAACAAUGAGAGAAAAAGGAAACAACAAAAAGAAAAUGGACAGAAACUUUGUAGGCUGUCAACUUCUCCAUAUCUUCAAAAACAUCUUUUGACAUCUGUUGUUCCUCGGGAUAAAGUAGGACAGAGUUUGCCUUGCAGAGCAGCACAAAUGCUCCAGGUGCCUAACAAAUAUUGGCAAUAACAGCAACUGGUUGUUUCUUCUGUGCAGUCACCGGGAGUUGUCUAUGUAAAGGGAUUGUAUAACCAGGAUGCUUUCUCAGAGGCCUACUGUCAGUCUCUCCACCUCUCAUGUGAGCAGCAGAGAACGACUAUGUAUUAAUAAUGAGCUUUGAGAUGCCGGAGAUUUUCAUCUCCUCGUUAACAAGAAAAAAAGCCAAAGGAAAUGGAUGUAAGAGAUCCUUGUCAGAAGGGAAGACAAGAUGCCAUUUUCAUGUAGUUCUAAAACACUCUUCAAUCUCUUCACUUUUAUUGUGUAAGAACCUGCUGUGUCACACGUGAUCAAUGUGGAAGAGAAUCAAAGGGGCCACUUAUGUGGGGCAUGAAUGCUGUUUCCUGGAGUACAUAUGCUGCCAGUGGGAACCACAAUUACUCGCUCUCAGCUGAAGGGGAAUGUGGUCUGCUCUUGUCAUGUCAAAAAUUGGUCAAGAAAGAUAUGGAAAAAUAUGAUUCCAGCUAGAAACACUGACCAAAAGAGAUUGCAGAGAGUGGCUUAAGAAUUAAAUCAGUUUAAUAGAUGUGUUUCAGCUGUAAGGAGAGCCUAGAUCAUUCAAUGCUUUUCCUCUUCUGGUUUUCAGGAUAAACUGGGAUUUGUUGAAUGUCAUUAUCUAAAGGCAACGUCCUUGUUUUGCACCUUAAUUCUAUGGCAGAAGAAUGUACAUCUGCACUCAGUGUGGAUUUCUAAUCUUGUGCAAAUAGCUUCCUAUAUCCAAAUAGUGAUAUGUAUCAGCAGCAGUUACCUGGAGAGCAGUAUAAAACAUAUUGUAGUGGAAUAUGAACACAAUGGGCUCAAAUAAACUUUGUGCAAAGAAGGGAUUAUCACAAACUUAGGAUGUCCAGUAUCUCAUUCCAGUGUGGGGGACAAAAACAGAUUUCUAUGUAAAUACUGUUGGUAAAAACGACUCUACUAUGAAAGGAAGGGGGGAGAUAAUCUUUCUUUCCUCUUCACCCCCCAACAAUUUUUAACUUCAUAAAGCAGGAGAUGAUACAGUGGUACUUAGUUUGGUCUGCAAGUUGAGUUUUCUAGCCUACUGCACACUAAACCUCUUAAGGCACUGAACAUGUGCUUUUGCCGAAGGCUUGAUCACCAUACCUGAAGAAAGUGGACUUUCUAAGACCUGAGAGAGGUCCCAGGACUUCACCACCACUUAGUGACAAGGAAAUACUCAGAAGUGCCCUUCAUGUCUCUUCUGUGACUCAUUGUGAAGCAAGAUCUGGGCCUGUGGGCCAGAUCCUUCUGCCAUUCCUCCAUGUAACAAAGAUUGUUCCAGCUUUGUGUUCUUACAUGUUCUGAAUAUUUUUAUCCUAUUCUUGUCAUUCCCAGGUAGCCAUUACUGGGAUGAACUUUUUCUUCCUUCUUUUAAGCUACGUGCUACAUUUAAUUGUAAGCUUGUGAUUAGUGUGAAGAUAAUAAAAAGCCAUUUAAAUUAGAACUGAUUGCUAUGGGACAGAAACAAACAGGAACGCUGGGCCUAAUCCAGUAAAGUUUUUAGGCCUUUAUUUUUCAGUGAGAUACUACUGGCAUUGUUGAAAGGCUAAGAAUCUACAAAAGAGUUGAAAGCCUACAAUAGGACAUGACAUCUCCAAUGCUUCGUUGAACACAAGCCUUUGCAUUUCCAUACACUGAAAGUCUUCUUUUUUUUUUUUUCUUUUUUUUUUCUGGAAGUACAUCAGAGCAGAAAGUCCUGGGCAGGGCACAGGUGCCAAAAAAACAUUUUAAAAGAAACAAGUGGCUGUAGCAGAGCUGGACGCACCAUGGCAUCCAGGCUUGGUGGAUUUUCAAUAGUUUUCCAAAAAAUGCGAUGGUAUAAAGUAUAUCUUUAUGGCAAUAGGCAUAUCAUCCAAACAUGCUUGAGCGGUUUGGCUAAAAAGUAUAUAAGUUUUUGGCAGGGAGUUUCUACCUCAGAAAUUGGACAGAUCAAGGAGACUCGUCUUCCACUUUUUCACAAACCCAGUUUGUCCGGAUUCUGGGACAGGUGCUUGCAAAACCCCUAUUUGGUUUUUCACGCCUUUAAGCACAGUAAUUUAGACACCUAUUUGCCAAUGACUCUUAAUCCCACCAGCAAUUUAAAACAGUUUGGUUUCCUUCUUGGUGCUAUUACAAAUUCUUGGAGAUGCAAACUUGCUAGAAGUUCAGUGUUAAAGGAAAAAGAGCCUGAUUUCACCAGUUUGUCUCCUUUAGCUGAUAGAACAUUUUUACUUAGAAACCUCAAGAAAAUCCUGGCAUGGCACCUCCUGAGAUGCAACAAAUACUGAAUGGUGUCUGUUUUGGGAACCUCCAAACUUUGCCAGCCCAUGCUCCAGUACCCAGGAAAUAGCAUGCUGCUGCAGUAGGCAUUGUUCUUUGUUCUCAUUUGCUGCCUCCAGUAGAACAUUUUAAUUUUCUACUGUUGAUACCAAAAUGACGUAAGGAGCUCUUCACCCAAGCCAACAUUUCCCACCACAUGAACUAUAUAGAAAGGAUUAUUGUGCCAAGUGCUGGCAAUGUCCCACGGUUUUUGCUGUGUCAGGAUAUCAGCCUUCUCCUCCUGGAAAAGGCCUAAAAAUAAAUGCAUUUCCUCAUUACCAGCUUAGCUCUAAGGGAGCUGGCAGCACAGAUGGAGAUGAUCUUUCUAGACCUCCCAAGUCAUUUAACAUUUCUGUGAUUUUUUCAGUAGGUGUUGUGAGGUGCAUUUCUCUCUGCUUUGAUUCUUGUGCUUAUAACCUGUUUCCGUAAACUAUGAUGGUAUGCAAAACAUCUUUAAUCUUCUCCGUUUCCUCUUACUACUAGGAAAGAAAAGAAUGGGGAAAAAAAAGAGAGAAAGAUCCAAUUUAUUGUAGCAGUAUCAACUGAGAGCUAACUGUAAAUUGGACUGGUGCAAACAGAUUCUCAUAUAUCACUAAGCCAUCUCAUUCUGAGAGUAACACCCAUAAGAACUGAAGUGUACCUGUGAAACUUAUACUAAGUAACUCUUAAGCAAACAUACAGACAAGUAUGCAUUUGAUUGUCCCCUUUACCAUCUGCUUAAUAUUCUACAUUGUGCACUACUGGGGUCAGUACGAACAUCCACUAUUUGCCUCCUGCCUGUAGGGUGCCUAUUUGCAAUUCUCAUUCCGAAUUCCGGUGCCACUUCAGUCAGGUACUGAAGAAGGAAAUGCUUGCAUUUGUAUCAUCAGACAAACUUCAAUAAUAUUUUAUUGUUGGAAGAAGCGAAAUGUAAAUGUUCAAAGUAUAAAAAUAAAUGUAUUUGGGGUUUUUAGUAGCAUUAGUAUCAAUAUAACAAAUAUGCACCCUGUACAGAGCUUCUGCAUUAAUGGGAUAUAACAUAAUUAUGAUCAGUUUCAAAUGGUCAAAUACAGAGAAUUGGUUCCUACAUGAUGGCACAAAUCACUUGGAAGUAUGCCUUACUGAUGCCAUUGCAUAUUGUUUUAGAAAGCAGUUUUUAUGGAAAACAUGCUUUUUCUACUUAUGUAAGUGUCUUCCCAGCAGAGACUUUUUUUGCUUCAAUGGCAAUAACAACUUCUGUCUAUUCAGGUCUCCAGAACUCUUAAGGGUAUUAUUUUCCCACAAGACUAGUGAGCUGAAUUGCCUACCGUGACAUAUCUGAAAAUGAUUCCAUUCCCAAAGAGUGUGUGUGAAUCCCUUCUCUUAAAAGUAAUAAUCCUUUAAGGCUUCUUGAAGUUGCUUCUUUUGGAUCACUAAUUGCUUAUGAAAAAACUCUUCUGGGGCUUUUUGCUCUACAAUUUUGAUAAAUUUUCAGUUCAUUUUCAUUUAAUUUUUAUCCUACAUCUUCGGAUAAACUGGUGACAGUUCUCCAGGACUGGACAGUGUAUCAGAGACCAUUGCAACCAGCCUUUUUAUUAAAACUUUAAAUACGAGCAGCAGGAACUCAGAAACUCAAAAAACUAUAUUUCUC
ensembl:lncRNA